AUGUAGGUGAGCAUAUUAACUCGCACGUUACGAGCUCCUUCGACAUGGCACAUUAAAACAACAGGUGCACCGGCUGGGAAGGAGUCGCACCUAUAGCCUACAGCGCAGCGCUGUAACACAGGUGUAACAGACUUCUUGUUUUUAAGUUUGAGAGGAAACAAGAACGACACAUCUCCCACUCUUCCCAGCUCCACGUCUAUGGGUAACUGGAUAGGAGUGACUGACAGAAGAGUGGCAGGCCUUAGCUCCUGAUCUCCAGAGGGUGCUCUGCACCUUACUAACUGAACCAUGAAGUCAUCUUCAUCACGGAACAGAUGUGCAGGGAUUUAAACUCAAGAUGCA